GACGAACGCUGGCGGCGUGCUUAACACAUGCAAGUCGAACGGAAAGGCCCUGCUUUUGUGGGGUGCUCGAGUGGCGAACGGGUGAGUAACACGUGAGUAACCUGCCCUUGUCUUUGGGAUAACUUCAGGAAACUGGGGCUAAUACCGGAUAGGAGCUCCUGCUGCAUGGUGGGGGUUGGAAAGUUUCGGCGGUUGGGGAUAGACUGGCGGGUUAUCAGCUUGUUAGUCGGGUAGUGGCUUACCAAGGCUUUGACGGGUAGCCGGCCUGAGAGGGUGACCGGCGACAUGGGGACUGCGGUACGGCCCAGACUCCUACGGGAGGCAGCAGUGGGGAGUAUUGCACAACGGGCGGAAGCCUGAUGCAGCAACGCCGCGUGCGGGAUGACGGCCUUCGGGGUGUAAACCGCUUUCGCCUGUGACGAGGCGUGAGUGACGGUAAUGGGUAAAGAAGCACCGGCUAACUACGUG
rnacentral:rRNA from 1 species